UACGUAGGGGGCAAGCGUUGUCCGGAUUUAUUGGGCGUAAAGAGCGUGUAGGCGGCUUUACAGGUCCGUUGUGAAAACUCGAGGCUCAACCUCGAGAUGUCGGCGGAAACCACUUGGCUAGAGUCCGGAAGAGGAGAGUGGAAUUCCCGGUGUAGCGGUGAAAUGCGCAGAUAUCGGGAAGAACACCUAUGGCGAAGGCAGCUCUCUGGGACGGUACUGACGCUGAGACGCGAAAGCGUGGGGAGCGAACAGG
rnacentral:rRNA from 1 species